rnacentral:lncRNA from 1 species
AUGUUGUCAGGCAGGUUCGUACAGGAACAUUCUGGGGCUGUUCUGAGAGCAGUAGGUAGAGUUGAAAGUGUCCUUGCCUGGGCCAGUCUUCCCCCAAAGAGGACAGACAGCCUGGAAGCCCCUGAAGCAAGUUGGAAUCACUGCACGUUUUUAAAACACAAGCCGGACACAAUCAGUUUGACCCACACGUUGUUAAGGGGGAACAUCUGGGCCUCGCCAGUCCAGCCUGGCUAUGUGACGGGCAGCAUGAGCAUAGUCACAGACACAAUUGGGUUCAAGACCUUGGAGACCAGCACUGUUAUGAGCCGUCCAGGUGGAAAAGACACAGCCGGGAGCCCGCUCUCCUGGGGGAAAACGGCUCUUAGUGACGAAAGCCCGGGUCCCAAGAAACUUAGGCUAUGAUGAUAGGGCCCCUUUCCGAGAGCUGGAAGUCUCCAGGGGAAGGAACUGUCUCUCUGGAGCCCCAGAAGCCCAAGAUGAACUCCCUUACUAGGUGCAACCCCAAGGCUCCCUCUGAGCCCCCCU